rnacentral:rRNA from 1 species
GAUGAACGCUGGCGGCGUGCCUAAUACAUGCAAGUCGAGCGAACAGAUGAGGAGCUUGCUCCUCUGACGUUAGCGGCGGACGGGUGAGUAACACGUGGAUAACCUACCUAUAAGACUGGGAUAACUUCGGGAAACCGGAGCUAAUACCGGAUAAUAUAUUGAACCGCAUGGUUCAAUAGUGAAAGACGGUUUUGCUGUCACUUAUAGAUGGAUCCGCGCCGCAUUAGCUAGUUGGUAAGGUAACGGCUUACCAAGGCAACGAUGCGUAGCCGACCUGAGAGGGUGAUCGGCCACACUGGAACUGAGACACGGUCCAGACUCCUAAGGGAGGCAGCAGUAGGGAAUCUUCCGCAGUGGGCGAAAGCCUGACGGAGCAAAGCCGCGUGAGUGAUGAAGGUCUUCGGAUCGUAAAACUCUGUUAUUAGGGAAGAACAAAUGUGUAAGUAACUAUGCACGUCUUGACGGUACCUAAUCAGAAAGCCACGGCUAACUACGUG